CCAAGUACCUGGGAUUACAGGCACAUGCCACCAUGCCUGGCUAACAAAAACAUUUUGAAAAGGGUUAAAUAAAUCAUGCACAAACUGAGGAAAAAUACUCUUCAAAAAUGAUGGAGAGGAUCACUAUGAUGAUGAAUGAUUCCACUGGUCACAUUAUUGAUAGAGCAAUCAGUAAAUCCAGGCACAUCCUCGGGAUAUUACUGACCUCCUAUUAUUAACAUAUGAAAAAAUGGAGGCAUGUAAAUUACUCGUUUAAGCGUAUAACGGACUGAAUUAGAAUUUUAUCACACCAGAAGUGGGUUCCUAGGUCUCUGUUUCAGGAUUCCUGAGUUACACACAUAUAAACCCAGGAUUUCAGGAGAUACCCGGUUAAGAAUCCGGUCGGGGAGGUGGUCUGGCCCUUGACAUGGAUAAGUCACAAAUUAGUGGCUUAGGACUCCAGGAAGAUAAAAUCUUCCCCAUUUAUCUAGUGAUUGACAAUGCAUGAAUACUUUAAAAGCUCAAACAAGCGUCCCUGGGUGGGCUCGAACCACCAACCUUUCGGUUAACAGCCGAAUGCGCUAACCGAUUGCGCCACAGAGACAGGUACUGUCAGUUCUACUGGGCGCUAUAGGAAGGGCGCACGCACGAAACUUCCUCCGUCCCUUGCAACCUCAGGGCCCGCCCGGCAGGACGACUGAGCAAGGCCUUGGAAAACCGGAGAGAUUGGAGCGAAUGGGGAGGAAUUGAGGGGAAAAUGGAGAUAGAACCUGAAAGAGCCCCAAACGCCAGAACCUGUAGCUCCCCAAGAAUAAGAUCUUCCAGAAGAACUAGACCCAAAACUAGCCGUUGGGGAACACCGAAAUCCUUGGAGGAGCAACAUCCGCAUGACCCUCUGUGUUCCUUUAGGCAAAAGGACUUGCUUCCAUUGUUUGUUCAAUUGUUUGUGUUUGUUAAAUAAAUAAAACGAUUUUCAUGUAUCUUUGAAAUUACUUUGGCGCUACUAUUUUAUGAUUGCAAAUAAUUCGGCAGUGAUCAUUCUUGUACACUUCUCAUUGGCCAUUUGUGUAUUUCUAUAGGGUAGAGGCCUGGAGAGCAGUUGCUCCAGCAUAGGGAUUACACAGUUUUUGUUUGUUUGUUUGUUUGUUUAUUUAUUUAUUUAUUUAUUUUUGAGACAGAGUCUCGCUCUGUCACCCAGGCUGGAGUGCAGUGGCGCCAUCUCAGCUCUCACUGCAACCUCCGCCUCCCGGGUUCAAGCGAAUCUCCUGCUUCAGCCUCCCAAGUAGCUGAGAUUACAGGUCCGCGCGAGCCACCACAUCGGGC
rnacentral:lncRNA from 10 species